UACGUAGGGGGCAAGCGUUGUCCGGAUUUAUUGGGCGUAAAGAGCGUGUAGGCGGCCUGACAAGUCUGCUGUGAAAACUCGAGGCUCAACCUCGAGAUGUCGGCGGAAACUGUCUGGCUAGAGUCCGGAAGAGGAGAGUGGAAUUCCAGGUGUAGCGGUGAAAUGCGUAGAUAUCUGGAGGAACACCGGUGGCGAAGGCGACAUCCUGGACCGGUAUUGACGCUGAGGCGCGAAAGCUAGGGGAGCAAACGGG
rnacentral:rRNA from 1 species